CCUACGGGUGGCAGCAGUGAGGAAUAUUGGACAAUGGGCGAGAGCCUGAACCAGCAAAGUAGCGUGAAGGAUGAAUGCCCUACGGGCGGUAAACUUCUUUUAUAAAGGAAUAAAGUGAGGCACGUGUGCCUUUUUGUAUGUACUUUAUGAAUAAGGAUCGGCUAACUCCGUGACAGCAGCCGCGGUAAUACGGAGGAUCCGAGCGUUAUCCGGAUUUAUUGGGUUUAAAGGGAGGGUAGAGUGGUUGUUAAGUCAGUUGUGAAAGUGUGCGGCUCAACCGGAAAAUUGCAAUUGAUACUGGCAGUCUUGAGUACAGUUGAGGUAGGCGGAAUUCGUGGUGUAGCGGUGAAAUGCUUAGAUAUCACGAAGAACUCCGAUUGCGAAGGCAGCUUACUAAACUGCCACUGACAUUGAUGCUCGAAAGUGUGGGUAUCAAACAGGAUUAGAUACCCCUGUAGUC
rnacentral:rRNA from 1 species